rnacentral:lncRNA from 1 species
GACUGCGGAAGGUUGCCCGGGCUGGCGCCGCUGGGCAGAGCCGGUGCGACGUUUCCCUUUCCAGCUUUGUUCUUCCGGCCCUGCUGUCUGCCUCCCCGGCUGAUUGGAUUCGUUACUGCUUUGCAACGCGCACCUAACUCCAGACGGGGUCUCACUCUGUCGCCCAGGCUGGAGUGCAGUGGCACAAUCUCAGCUUGCUGUGACCUCAGCUCUCUGCGACCUCUGCUUGCUGGACUCAAGCGAUCCUCCCACCACCUCAGCCUCCUGAGUAGCUGGAACCAUCAUAUGCACCAGCACGCCUGGCUAAGCUGGAAUGCAAUAGCGUGGUCUUGGCUCACUGCAACCUCCGCCUCCCGGGUUCAAGCAAUUCUCCUGCCUCAGCCUCCUAAGUAGCUGGGACUACAGGGGCCCUCCUGCUGCUCCCUCCAUGAGGCUGGUCCUGAAGGAAUAGGCCUGUGGCUCGUCCCUCCUCCCCAUCUCGGCCCUGAGGCAAACAUACCUUCCACAGCUCUGGGAGCACCGCCUCCACCCAGGUCUCACAGGAUGGGACACAAGGAUAGGCAUUAAGCAGGACUUCCAGGGCCCGAGGGAAGUUGGCGCAGUGUUUCAGCAUCUAGGGGUCAAAAGAGGGUCUUGGGCACAUGCCUCCCCCACCCGAGGGCAGACCCAAGUCUUGCCUCACCCACAUGGCCAAUCCUAGCCUAAUCUGGGGGGCUAAGGUCUGAGUCUCUCUUCCCUUUUUUGUGCCUCUGUCUACCCCACCCUCAAGUAUGCUCCAACCUUUUGGCCCCAGUUUUCCUCUGGGGCUCUUCCCUCCCUUGGACUCUCUCUCCCAGAAUCCUCUCUCCCCCUCCCAAGCUGGGGACAGCCCCCUGGCCACUGAGGGCAGGCUUUCAGUCUCUUGGACCCUCUGUCUUCCCCAGAAGCGGAGCAGUUCCAGCCGCGGGCUCCCCCACACAGGAGCCUCCUAUGUCAGGGCCUCCCAGCGCACCUCAGGGCGCACUGGCUGCGCCCCGUAGUCCAGCAGUGCGGCGAAAAGGACUUCAGGCUCCCAGUUGGGGGAGUCCUGGACGGCCUGCAGCGCACAGUCCAUGGGCGUGUGGCCCGCCCCAUUGGGGACCUCAGCGCGGGCCCCGUAACGCAGCAGCAGCUCGGCCAGGCCCCCGCAGCCGUUGGCACAAGCGUUGUGCAGCGGCGUGUGGCGCUUGCGCCCGGCCGCCCGGGCAUCAGCUCCAGCCUCCAGGAGCCGGCGCGCCGCAGCCUGGUGUCGCCUGCAGCUACCUGGGCCCUCGGCCCCAGCGCACGCCGUGUUCAGCGCAGUCUCGCCCUGGCUGGUGCGCAGGCCCACGUCGGCGCCAUGCUCCAGGUACAGAGCCACAUGUUGCUCCAGGCCGCGCGCCGCCGCCACGUGCAGGGGCGUCUCCUGGCUCUCGCCUGCUGCCAGGUUCACCGUCGCUCCUGCUUCCAGCAGCAACUUGGCGCACCUGGGGACAAGAGAGCAAGGUCCUGAGGAAAAUCCUGAAGGCUUGGGACCCCUUCAGCUUGCUGUGACACUCCCUUGCCUUUCCACCCCUCUCAGCUUGAGGUCCUACCUGGUGUCCUCCAUGAGAAUCAUACAAGCCCCGCUACAGACAACAGAAUUGGAAGGUCCUGAGAGCUACCAGAAGCAUCUUCAGUUUUCAUAUGAAAAACUUAAGCCCAGGAGUGAUUUGUGCAGCCAAGGACACACAGCAAGUUAGUGGCUGCACCAGAAAUAGUACUCACUGCCUCAGACAGUCCCUCCCACAGUCUACUCUGUCUCCACCCCAAGGUCUGGUUCUGAAUCAUUCAGUUGUCAGUUGUCUCCUUUUUUUUUUUUUUUUUUGGAGACAGGGUCUCUCUCUGUGGCCCAGGCUGAAGUGCAGUGGUGUGAUUACAGCUCAUGUAGCCUGGACCUCCCAAGCUCAAGCAAUCCUCCUGCCUCUGCCUCCCAAGUAGCUGGGACCACAGGUGGGCAGCACCACACCUGGCUAAUUUUUUAAAUUUUUUUUUAUAGAGACAGGGUCUUACCAUUUGCCCCAGCUGGUCUCAAACCCCUGGGCUCAAGCAAGCCUCCUGCCUUGGCCUCCCAAAGUGCUGGGAUUACAGGUGUGAGCCACCACACCCGGCCUUAUCUCCUAACAUUUUGAUAGCACAAAAUUUUGAAAACCCACUUCUGUGUACGUUAUGAAGCAUAGAAAAUUAAACAGUAUGCACCAAAAAAAAAUAAA